rnacentral:lncRNA from 10 species
CGUGAAGGGGUUGCGGGGUGAGGGUGGGGAUAAGGGCUGGUGGGGAAGGGUGUUGACUCCAAAAAGCAAGAAAAAUAAACCACCUUCCCACUUGGCGAAAAGAAAUCAGAGCUGGCUUUAGGUUUUUCAGUCCGGUCUCCUUUGCAAGGCAGAAAUGGGCUCCCGGCGCUUAAAUCUGUGGCUUAAUCCUUUUGCAAAUAUGCAUUGAUCGGGAGAAAGGAGAGGAAGGCAGGGGGAUUGCAAUGCAAACUUUCCCCCCCCACCCCCCGCUGCCCCCCACCCCCACUCCGGGCCAGAGUGAUCUCAAAGGGGGUGGGCUGUUGCAAAAGCCAGAUCUCCCCCAGCCGCGGCGGCAGGCAAAGCACAGGCUCUCUCCUCCUCCGUGUCUCUGCAAACUCCAGCAGCCCCGUCAGCCUCCUGCUUUUGUUUAGCUCAGGCUCAGGACUCCAGAAACAUAUACAGAAAAACCACAGCCUGAGAGGAGGAGGAGGAGGAGGAGAAGAAGGAGGAGGAGGACG